CCUACUAUACCCCUUCCUCUCACUGCACUCCACUCACCCCUGCUAUACCCCUUCCGCUCCCUGCAGUCCACUAAUCCUUAUCUACCCUUCCUUUCACUGCACUCACCUCUGCUAUACCUUCAUCUCACUGCACCCCACUAAAUCCUGCUAUACCUAUUCCUUUCACUGCACUCCACUCACUCCUGCUGUACCCCUUCCUCACUGCACUCCAAUCACUCCUGAUCUACCCCUCUGUCUGCACUCCACUCACUCGCGAUUUACCUCUGUUCUCUCUAACUUUUUUUUUUUUGUUCCAGCCUCUUCCCCCCUCCUUCCUGUCACAACCCAACUCAUUCAUCUCCACCUCCCUUGUCCCUUUAACUCCUUCAGUCCCAAUAUUCC